UACAGGGGGUGCAAACGUUGCUCGGAAUUAUUGGGCGUAAAGCGCGCGUAGGCGGCUACUUAAGUCGGAUGUGAAAGCCCCCGGCUCAACUGGGGAGGGUCACGCGAUACUGAUCGACUCGAAGGCAGGAGAGGGUAGUGGAAUUCCCGGUGUAGUGGUGAAAUGCGUAGAUAUCGGGAGGAACACCAGUGGCGAAGGCGACUACCUGGCCUGUUCUUGACGCUGAGGCGCGAAAGCUAGGGGAGCAAACGGG
rnacentral:rRNA from 1 species